CCCUAGUAACGGCGAGUGAAGAGGGAAGAGCUCAAAUUUUAAAUCUGCCUUGUUCCAAGGUCGAGUUGUAAUUUGAAGAAGCGUUUUCUUGGGCUCGCGGCCGGUAGAAGUUCUUUGGAACAGGACAUCAUAGAGGGUGACAAUCCCGUCCGUGACCGGUCGUGCGUUCAUCUACGAUACGCUUUCAAAGAGUCGAGUUGUUUGGGAUUGCAGCUCCAAACGGGUGGUAAACAUCACCUAAGGCUAAAUAUUGGCGAGAGACCGAUAGCGAACAAGUACCGUGAGGGAAAGAUGAAAAGAACUUUGAAAAGAGAGUUAAACAGUACGUGAAAUUGUUGAAAGGGAAACGAUUGAAGUCAGUCGUGCUGGCGCGAAAUCAACCCUCUCGUCUUGAGAUCACAUGGCGCGACGAGCCUCAAAACCGUCACGAAGCGUGAACUCUUGACGAAAAGGUGCACUUUCGUGUCCGCUGGUUAACAUCAAUUUCGAACGUCAUAAAAAGGCUGGAGGGAUGUGGCUCCUUCGGGAGUGUUAUAACCUUUAGCGGAAUGUGGCGUUCGGGAUUGAGGAUUGCAACGAAUACCUUCAGGGCUGUUCCACCUGGCUUCUCAUUGGUAUCCUGGUGACGACAGCUUGCUGACGUCGUUAGGAUCAGCUUCUGAACAGGCUAGAGUGUGAGCAAAUUCGUUAAGGAUGUUAACGUAAUGGCUUUAAACGACC
rnacentral:rRNA from 1 species